rnacentral:misc_RNA from 1 species
AACGCCUUACAUUUUUGAGAGGACUAUCUAUUGAUUGAACAAGAUAUGUACCUGGCCUCAAGAAAGAUACUACCUUGCCAUUGCUUAA